AGGUUAGUUUUACCCUACUGAUGACCUUGCCCCAAUGGUAAUACCGCUUAGUACGAGAGGAACCGCGGUUUCAGAUAAUUGGUUUUUGCGGCUGUCUGACCAGGCAGUGCCGCGACGCUACCAUCUGCCGGAUUAUGGCUGAACGCCUCUAAGUCAGAAUCCGUGCCGGAACGCGGCGAUUUCGCCCCGCACGUCGUAGUUGGAUACGAAUAGGC
rnacentral:rRNA from 1 species